AUGUCGUUCCACCGCGGCAGCAGCUCCGGCACCGGCGGCGGCGACGGGCCGAGCGUUUGGCCGUCGAGCCUGAGCACGCCGGAGACAGAGGAGUUGUACCGGUUUGGGCUCCUCGUGCCGCCGGGUUGCCGUCUGCCGCACGACUGGAAGCUCGACAAGGACGGCUACCCGAGGCACGGGCGACCAUGGUCCGCAUGA
rnacentral:rRNA from 1 species